UCCAAUAAGUGUCCGAGCUCACGAUCGCCU
rnacentral:sRNA from 1 species